rnacentral:rRNA from 1 species
GGUGAGUAACGCGUGGAUAACCUGCCUCACACUGGGGGAUAACAGUUAGAAAUGACUGCUAAUACCGCAUAAGCGCACAGUACCGCAUGGUACGGUGUGAAAAACUCCGGUGGUGUGAAACGGAUCCGCGUCUGAUUAGCCAGUUGGCGGGGUAACGGCCCACCAAAGCGACGAUCAGUAGCCGACCUGAGAGGGUGACCGGCCACAUUGGGACUGAGACACGGCCCAAACUCCUACGGGAGGCAGCAGUGGGGAAUAUUGCACAAUGGGCGAAAGCCUGAUGCAGCGACGCCGCGUGAGUGAAGAAGUAUUUCGGUAUGUAAAGCUCUAUC